rnacentral:sRNA from 1 species
UCAAUCAGACUCUAUGAAAAAUACGGAUGGAAGUUAGUGAAAAUCUAACACGGUCCCGCCACUGUGAUGAGCACAAUGCUCUAAGUCAGGUCUUUCCGCUUUUCAUUAUCGGGCAUGCUGUUUCGAGGCUAAACAGGAUGUUUCUU